GAAUAUUGGGCAAUGGGCGAGAGCCUGACCCAGCCAUGCCGCGUGCAGGAUGAAGGCCUUCUAGGUUGUAAACUGCUUUUGUACAGGAAGAACAUGCUAUUGCGAUAGUAACUGACGGGACUGUACGAAUAAGGCCCGGCUAACUCCGUGCCAGCAGCCGCGGUAAUACGGAGGGUGCAAGCGUUGUCCGGAUUUAUUGGGUUUAAAGGGUGCGUAGGCGGCCGAUUAAGUCAGUGGUGAAAGCCUAUAGCUUAACUAUAGAAUUGCCAUUGAUACUGGUUGGCUUGAGUUCGAUUGAGGUAGGCGGAAUUUGUGGUGUAGCGGUGAAAUGCAUAGAUACCACAAGGAACACCGAUAGCGUAGGCAGCUUACUAAAUCGAUACUGACGCUGAGGCACGAAAGCGUGGGGAGCGAACAGG
rnacentral:rRNA from 1 species